rnacentral:tRNA from 1 species
GCGAGAGUGGCGGAAUUGGCAGACGCGCUGGAUUUAGGAUCCAGUACCGCAAGGUGUGGGGGUUCGACUCCCCCCUCUCGCA